GACGAACGCUGGCGGCGUGCCUAAUACAUGCAAGUCGAACGCAGUGGGGACGGGUGAGAAACACGUGGGUCACCUCCCCAUCAGAGGGGAUAAAACUUGGAAACAGGUGCUACACCGCAAUUGCUGGAUGGACCCGCGGUGCAUUAGCUAGUUGGCGAGGUAACGGCUCACCAAGGCCACGAGUCAUAGCCGACCUGAGAGGGUGAGCGGCCACACGGGGACGCAGACACGGCCCAGACUCCUACGGGAGGCAGCAGUAGGGAAGCUUCGGCAAUGGACGAAAGUCGGACCGAGAAACGCCGCGUGAGUGAAGAAGGUUUUCGGAUCGUAAAACUCUGUUGUUAGAGAAGCGGUAUCUAACCAGAAAGCCACGGCUAACUACGUGCCAGCAGCCGCGGUAAUUC
rnacentral:rRNA from 1 species